AUACCUGUGGCCGAAUGGUUAAGCUCCAACUUUCAAUUGGAUAUGUGGUUCGAAUCCUACCAGGUAUA
rnacentral:tRNA from 3 species